rnacentral:miRNA from 1 species
UGUGUGUGUGUGCGCGUGUGUGUGUGUGUGUGUGUGUGUGUGUGUGUGUGUGUGCGCGCGCGAGCACAGACCAGCCUCUCCCCCUGCAG